AUGAACGCUAGCGACAGGCUUAACACAUGCAAGUCGAGGGGUAACAGGGUAGCAAUACCGCUGACGACCGGCGCACGGGUGAGUAACGCGUAUGCAACCUGCCUAUAACUGGGGAAUAGCUCCCUGAAAGGGGGAAUUAACACCGCAUAACACUAUUGAUUCGCAUGGAUUAGUAGUUAAAUGUAGCGAUACAGGUUAUAGAUGGGCAUGCGUGACAUUAGCUAGUUGGUGAGGUAACGGCUCACCAAGGCUACGAUGUCUAGGGGUUCUGAGAGGAAGGUCCCCCCACACUGGUACUGAGACACGGACCAGACUCCUACGGGAGGCAGCAGUGAGGAAUAUUGGUCAAUGGGCGCAAGCCUGAACCAGCCAUGUCGCGUGCAAGGAAGAACCUGCCCUAUGGGUUGUAAACUGCUUUUAUAGUAGAAGAAACACAUCUACGUGUAGAUGUCUGCCAGUAUACUAUGAAUAAGCAUCGGCUAACUCCGUGCCAGCCGCCGC
rnacentral:rRNA from 1 species